CGUAGGAGGCGAGCGUUAUCCGGAUUCACUGGGCGUAAAGCGCGUGCAGGCGGUUUGGUAAGUUGGGCGUGAAAGCUCCCGGCUCAACUGGGAGAGGUCGUUCAAUACUACCAAACUAGAGAGUGGAAGAGGAAGAUGGAAUUCCCGGUGUAGUGGUGAAAUGCGUAGAUAUCGGGAGGAACACCAGUGGCGAAGGCGAUCUUCUGGUCUAUUUCUGACGCUCAGACGCGACAGCUAGGGUAGUAAACGGGAUUAGAGACCCCGGUAAUCCUAGCCGUAAACGAUGUGAACUUGGCGUCGGUGGCUUAAACACCAUCGGUGCCGAAGCAAACGCGAUAAGUUCACCGCCUGGGGACUACGGCCGCAAGGUUA
rnacentral:rRNA from 1 species